CAGCCGUAAACUAUGCGCGUUAGGUGUACUGGUGACCACGAGUCACCGGGGUGCCGAAGGGAAACCGUGAAACGUGCCGCCUGGGAAGUACGGUCGCAAGGCUGAAACUUAAAGGAAUUGGGCGGGGGAGCACCACAACGGGUGGAGCCUGCGGUUUAAUUGGACUCAACGCCGGAAAUCUCACCGGAUAGGACAGACAUAUGAUAGUCGGGCUGAAGACUCUACUUGAUGAUCUGAGAGGAGGUGCAUGGCGUCAGUGACU
rnacentral:rRNA from 1 species